CCUACGGGUGGCAGCAGUAGGGAAUCUUCCACAAUGGGCGAAAGCCUGAUGCAGCAACGCCGCGUGUGUGAAGAAGGUCUUCGGAUCGUAAAACCCUGUUGUUAGAGAAGAAAGUGCGUGAGAGUAACUGCUCACGUUUCGACGGUAUCUAACCAGAACGCCACGGCUAACUACGUGCCAGCAGCCGCGGUAAUACGUAGGUGGCAAGCGUUAAUCGGAUUUAUUGGGCGUAAAGGGAACGCAGGCGGUUUGUUAAGUCUGAUGUGAAGGCCUUCGGCUUAACCGGAGAAGUGCAGUUGAGACUGGGAGUCUAGAGUACAGGAGAGGUGGGUAGAAUUCCAGGUGUAGCGGUGAAAUGCGUAGAUAUGUUGAAGAACACCGGUGGCGAAGGCGGCUCCCUGGACUGUAACUGACGCUGAGGUUCGAAAGCGUGGGUAGCAAACAGGAUUAGAUACCCGAGUAGUC
rnacentral:rRNA from 1 species